rnacentral:RNase_P_RNA from 1 species
UGACAGUCUGGCUCGGUAAACCCCACCCGAAGCAAGACCAAAUAGGGGGACGCUCGAGGGUGGCCCGCCCGAUGUCCCCGGGUCAGGUCGCUCGAGGUGCGUGGUAACGCGCAUCCUAGAGGAAUGGCCGCCACUGCCUGGCAGGGCAACCGCAGGCAGGACAGAACUCGGCUUACGGAUCGCUUCGACGC